AACGAACGCUGGCGGCAUGCCUAACACAUGCAAGUCGAACGAUACCUUCGGGUCUAGUGGCGCACGGGUGCGUAACGCGGGGUAACCUGCCCUUAGGUUCUGAAUAACUCCCCGAAAGGUGUGCUAAUACCGGAUAAUGUCUUCGGACCAAAGAUUUAUCGCCUUUGGAUGGGCCCGCGUUGGGUUAGCUAGUUGGUAGUGUAAAAGCAUACCAAGGCGACGAUCCAUAGCUGGUCUGAGACGAUGAUCAGCCAGACUGGGACUGAGACACGGCCCAGACUGGUACGGGAGGCAGCAGUAGGGAAUAUUGGACGCGGGACGAAAGCCUAAUCAAGCAGUGCCGGGUGAGUGAUGCAGGCCUUAGGGUUGUACAGCUCUCUUACACGAGAUGAUAGUGACAGUACCGGGAGAAUAAGCGCCGGCUAACUCCGUG
rnacentral:rRNA from 1 species